rnacentral:tRNA from 1 species
GAGGCUGUGGCUCAGUGGUAGAGCGCUUAGCAUGUGUGAGGCACUGGGUUCGAUUCUCAGCACCACA